UAUUAUGACGUCAUAAUUUGCCGAUUUCCUUCAUAAAUACGCGAUCAAAGAUUUUCCCGAAAUUUAUUUUGCGAAACAAGUUAAAAAGCUGUCGAUGUAUUCAAUUUUAUUGCCUUCACAUAAGCAAUGCAAGAAAAAUAAUGUUCAUAUUUUAUUUUUGGUCAAAAUAAUUUUUUGUUACCACUGAAAAUAGAAUGCUUAUAAAUAUUUCACACUCUACUAAACAAUAAAUUGUAUGAAAAAAGGAAGCAGAUGAAAAUGUCGGGCAGUCAACAAGAAAGAGAAAGGCACAAGCCCUGAAAUUUAGGGUAGGGAUUAAAUCGAGAUUACAUCAAGACCAAUUCUCAAUUGCUACUUAUCUUUUCAACACCGAAAUGAAAUUCAAAAGUCGAACACCGAGGAACUUCCCAGAUGAAAUACUAUUAAGAAUUUAUCCCGGUGAGGUAACAAUUAUGCCAGUCCGACGCCUUUAAAGAGCUCCUCGUGCAGCUGUACACGAUGCCUGACUCAAACGUUCCUUUAUGUGGGAUAAUUUUCAUCAAUUGCAACUUACGCAAAACAUGAGAACAAAUGCAAAUGAAGAAAAUUUUUCGAGGUUGCUACUACAACUACGAAGUGGAUUUCUUCAAAGCUCCCUUGAUAAUCCAGCAGAAGAUAUUAUUGACAAUUCUGAGGCAGCAGAUGUAACAGUUUUUGUUAUCUUAUGUAUUUGACAAUUGCACAGUAGAAGAGAUGAAAAAUAGAGUGAUCUUAUCCCUUAAAAUUUCGGACUGGUUAAUGAAGAAAUGAAGAAAUUCUAAGUAGCUUGCCCCACCGAAUCUAAGAUAUAUCUAAGCACCAACUCAGUAACUUCUGAUAAUGAAGAAGAAGCUCAAUUAUCAUAUGAAGUCUAUAAACUCUCUCACACCUUCCGGAAUGCUUUCCCAUCGCCUUAACUUAAAAGUUGGAGUAAUUAUUAUGCUUCUUAGAAACCUAUCUAUAACACAAUGUCUAUGGAUUGGAACUCGCUUGGAUGUACUUCAACUCCACGAGCAUAGCAUCGAAGCGUUAUUUAUAAGGGGAUCUUAUUCUCACACGAUUGUACUCAUUCCAAGUAUCAAAAUUAAACCAAGCGCUGCAAACAUUCCUUUCGUUCUUCAACGAACACAGUUCCUGGUUCGUCUGUCCUAUUCUAUGACAAUCAAUAAAGC
rnacentral:lncRNA from 1 species